AGUGAACGCUGGCGGUAGGCCUAAUACAUGCAAGUCGAACGGCAGCACAGUAAGAGCUUGCUCUUACGGGUGGCGAGUGGCGGACGGGUGAGGAAUACAUCGGAAUCUACUUUUUCGUGGGGGAUAACGUAGGGAAACUUACGCUAAUACCGCAUACGACCUACGGGUGAAAGCAGGGGAUCUUCGGACCUUGCGCGACUGAAUGAGCCGAUGUCGGAUUAGCUAGUUGGCGGGGUAAAGGCCCACCAAGGCGACGAUCCGUAGCUGGUCUGAGAGGAUGAUCAGCCACACUGGAACUGAGACACGGUCCAGACUCCUACGGGAGGCAGCAGUGGGGAAUAUUGGACAAUGGGCGCAAGCCUGAUCCAGCCAUACCGCGUGGGUGAAGAAGGCCUUCGGGUUGUAAAGCCCUUUUGUUGGGAAAGAAAAACAGCAGGUUAAUACCCCGCUGUUCUGACGGUACCCAAAGAGUAAGCACCGGCUAACUUCGUG
rnacentral:rRNA from 1 species